rnacentral:rRNA from 2 species
GGCUGUCACUUACAGAUGGGCCCGCGGCGCAUUAGCUAGUUGGUGAGGUAACGGCUCACCAAGGCCACGAUGCGUAGCCGACCUGAGAGGGUGAUCGGCCACACUGGGACUGAGACACGGCCCAGACUCCUACGGGAGGCAGCAGUAGGGAAUCUUCCGCAAUGGACGAAAGUCUGACGGAGCAACGCCGCGUGAGCGAUGAAGGCCUUCGGGUCGUAAAGCUCUGUUGUUAGGGAAGAACAAGUAUCGGAGUAACUGCCGGUACCUUGACGGUACCUAACCAGAAAGCCACGGCUAACUACGUGCCAGCAGCCGCGGUAAUACGUAGGUGGCAAGCGUUGUCCGGAAUUAUUGGGCGUAAAGCGCGCGCAGGUGGUUCCUUAAGUCUGAUGUGAAAGCCCACGGCUCAACCGUGGAGGGUCAUUGGAAACUGGGGAACUUGAGUGCAGAAGAGGAAAGUGGAAUUCCACGUGUAGCGGUGAAAUGCGUAGAGAUGUGGAGGAACACCAGUGGCGAAGGCGAC